rnacentral:sRNA from 1 species
UGAAGGAUAACGUUGCUUUAGCAACGGCCCGAAGGGCGAGGCGAAGCCGAGUCAUCCUGCACGACCCACCA